rnacentral:rRNA from 1 species
GAUGAACGCUGGCGGCGUGCUUAACACAUGCAAGUCGAGCGAGAAGUUUUGAAAAGAUUCUUCGGAUGAAAUUUAAAAUGGAAAGCGGCGGACGGGUGAGUAACGCGUAGGCAACCUGCCCCAUACAAAGGGAUAGCAUUUGGAAACGAAUAUUAAUACCUUAUGAAACUUAACUAGUGCAUGCUAGGUAGGUCAAAGAUUUAUCGGUAUGGGAUGGGCCUGCGUCUGAUUAGCUAGUUGGUGAGGGAACGGCUCACCAAGGCGACGAUCAGUAGCCGACCUGAGAGGGGGAACGGCCACAUUGGAACUGAGACACGGUCCAAAAUCCUACGGGAGGCAGCAGUGGGGAAUAUUGCACAAGGGGGGAAACCCUGAUGCAGCAACGCCGCGUGAACGAUGAAGGCCUUUGGGGCGUAAAGUUCUGUUCUAGGUGAUGAAAACUGACAGUAACCGAGGAGAAAGCCCCGGCUAACUCCGUG